rnacentral:rRNA from 1 species
GAUGAACGCUGGCGGCGUGCCUAAUACAUGCAAGUCGAGCGAACAGAUGAGGAGCUUGCUCCUCUGACGUUAGCGGCGGACGGGUGAGUAACACGUGGAUAACCUACCUAUAAGACUGGGAUAACUUCGGGAAACCGGAGCUAAUACCGGAUAAUAUAUUGAACCGCAUGGUUCAAUAGUGAAAGACGGUUUUGCUGUCACUUAUAGAUGGAUCCGCGCCGCAUUAGCUAGUUGGUAAGGUAACGGCUUACCAAGGCAACGAUGCGUAGCCGACCUGAGAGGGUGAUCGGCCACACUGAACUGAGACACGGUCCAGACUCCUACGGGAGGCAGCAGUAGGGAAUCUUCCGCAAUGGGCGAAAGCUUGACGGAGCAACGCCGCGUGAGUGAUGAAGGUCUUCGGAUCGUAAAACUCUGUUAUUAGGGAAGAACAAAUGUGUAAGUAACUAUGCACGUCUUGACGGUACCUAAUCAGAAAGCCACGGCUAACUACGUG